AGCGAACGCUGGCGGCAGGCUUAACACAUGCAAGUCGAACGGAUCCUUCGGGAUUAGUGGCGGACGGGUGAGUAACACGUGGGAACGUGCCUUUUGGUUCGGAACAACACAGGGAAACUUGUGCUAAUACCGGAUGUGCCCUUCGGGGGAAGGAUUUAUCGCCAUUAGAGCGGCCCGCCGUCUGAUUAGCUAGUUGGUGAGGUAAAGGCUCACCAAGGCUACGAUCAGUAGCUGGUCNGAGAGGAUGAUCAGCCACACUGGGACUGAGACACGGCCCAGACUCCUACGGGAGGCAGCAGUGGGGAAUCUUGCGCAAUGGGGGAACCCUGACGCAGCCAUGCCGCGUGAAUGAU
rnacentral:rRNA from 1 species